AAAGUCCAAGAAAUCCUCCCACAUCAAUCAGUUCCAAGCCUUGUGAACCAGUAGUGACAUCGCAUUCCAAAGAAACUAAAUUAGCAGAAUGAACUUCACAAAGUUAUUUCUCCUGAUCGCCGUGGCUGUUCUUCUCCUGACCGGGCAGUCUGAAGCAGGUGGCCUCAAGAAGCUGGGAAAGAAAUUGGAAGGUGCAGGAAAACGAGUUUUCAAUGCUGCCGAGAAGGCUCUUCCUGUUGUAGCUGGGGCUAAAGCUCUAGGAAAGUAGUAGUUUUUACUUUUCCAAAAUAAGUUCAGUUAAAUUAGUUAAAUAAAAGUAGCUUUAUAUUAA